GACGAACGCUGGCGGCGUGCUUAACACAUGCAAGUCGAACGAGAACGGGUUAUAGCUUGCUAUAAUUGUCAGCUAAGUGGCGCACGGGUGAGUAAUGUAUAGGUAAUAUGCCUCUUACUAAGGGAUAACAAAUGGAAACGUUUGCUAAUACCUUAUACUCCUUAUUAACAUAAGUUAAUAAGGGAAAGAUUUAUUGGUAAGAGAUUAGCCUGUAUUGUAUCAGUUAGUUGGUGGGGUAAUGGCUUACCAAGACUAUGACACAUAACUGGCUUGAGAGGAUGAUCAGUCACACUGGAACUGAGACACGGUCCAGACUCCUACGGGAGGCAGCAGUGGGGAAUAUUGCACAAUGGACGAAAGUCUGAUGCAGCAACGCCGCGUGGAGGAUGACACAUUUCGGUGCGUAAACUCCUUUUAUAUGAGAAGAUAAUGACGGUAUUAUAUGAAUAAGCACCGGCUAACUCCGUGCCAGCCGCCGCAGUAA
rnacentral:rRNA from 1 species